CAGCCGCCGCGGUAAUACGGAAGGUCCAGGCGUUAUCCGGAUUUAUUGGGUUUAAAGGGAGCGUAGGCUGGAGAUUAAGUGUGUUGUGAAAUGUAGACGCUCAACGUCUGACUUGCAGCGCAUACUGGUUUCCUUGAGUACGCACAACGUUGGCGGAAUUCGUCGUGUAGCGGUGAAAUGCUUAGAUAUGACGAAGAACUCCGAUUGCGAAGGCAGCUGACGGGAGCGCAACUGACGCUUAAGCUCGAAGGUGCGGGUAUCAAACAGGAUUAGAUACCCCCGUAGUCCCUGUCUCUUAUAC
rnacentral:rRNA from 1 species